GACAAACGCUGGCGGCAUGCCUAACACAUGCAAGUCGAACGGACAGAACAGGAGAUCUUUUCUCAGUGGAUCUGGAAGGUUGGGUGCGUAUGGGGUGGUAACCCUUGGACAACCUACCUUGUAAAUGCGAAUAACCUCGAGAAAUCGAAGCUAAUACCCCGUAAUACCCUUUCUUCUCGUGAAAGAAGGAUUUAAGGCGACCUUAAGGCUGUCGAUACACGCUUGAUCCGCGUCGUAUUAGCUAGUUGGUCAGGUAAAGGCUUACCAAGGCGACGAUGCGUAGCCGACCUGAGAGGGUGAACGGCCACACUGGAACUGAGACACGGUCCAGACUCCUACGGGAGGCAGCAGUAGGGAAUCUUCCGCAAUGGGCGAAAGCCUGACGGAGCAACGCCGCGUGAGUGAUGAAGGUCUUCGGAUCGUAAAACUCUGUUAUUAGGGAAGAGCGAAUGUUUAAGUAACUAUGAACGUCUGGACGGUACCUGAGCAGAAAGCCACGGCUAACUACGUG
rnacentral:rRNA from 1 species